UGGGGAAUAUUGCACAAUGGGCGCAAGCCUGAUGCAGCAACGCCGCGUGAACGAUGAAGGUCUUCGGAUCGUAAAGUUCUGUUGCAGGGGAAGAUAAUGACGGUACCCUGUGAGGAAGCCCCGGCUAACUACGUGCCAGCAGCCGCGGUAAUACGUAGGGGGCUAGCGUUAUCCGGAUUUACUGGGCGUAAAGGGUGCGUAGGUGGUCCUUCAAGUCGGUGGUUAAAGGCUACGGCUCAACCGUAGUAAGCCGCCGAAACUGGAGGACUUGAGUGCAGGAGAGGAAAGUGGAAUUCCCAGUGUAGCGGUGAAAUGCGUAGAUAUUGGGAGGAACACCAGUAGCGAAGGCGGCUUUCUGGACUGCAACUGACACUGAGGCACGAAAGCGUGGGGAGCGAACAGG
rnacentral:rRNA from 1 species